AGAGACAGUCUGCAGCAUCCCUCAGAUUCUCUCAAGCAUCCAGAAAUGGCUAAACUAGCCCACUACGGCAGCCACUCUAGAACUUCUAUAACAAGACCAAAAAAGAAGCUUUUAAAAGCUCAAAGUUACCUAUAAAUAGAUCCACUGCCUGAUGGAACCACCGCCCACAGUACUUCAAGGCUGCAACAUUAUCCAGGAUUCAAGAAUGACGAGAGAGGAAGACACAAGGUUCUUUCAGAUGCCAACCCUAGAGUUACACUACAAGUAAAUAAGAUGCCUUGGGAAGAGCGUGUGCGUGACAGCUCAUCAGGGGACCACGCAUCACCCAUUCAAUCUCCUUAUGGGAAGUGAAAAUUAUGCUUCUUCAUGUGAUCAAACCCACCCUUCGCGCUGUUUCUUCUUUGCAGAGAGAUUUUCUUCUUUCUUUUCUUAAUAUUCCCAGUAGACACCUGCUCAGUUGUGCAGUGAGCGCUUACAACACACGUGCUCAGGAUGCCAGAGUUUGGCAAGUACAACCCAAGGGAAGAGUUCUGGUUUCCUUGUGAUGCCUGUCACCAAAAGCGGCAUCUCUAUAUAACACAACCCUGACAUCUAAGGCCCAGGGAACACUGUUGGAGAAGAGGCAGAAAGAUUUUAAGAGCCUGAGGACCAGGAAGAUUGCUGAGUGGCAGUCUCUCCUGGACAGGGCAGGGAUACGGCUUCUAAGAACUCAGUAUGGCUGCCUGCACAGGACCUGCAGAGACCACACCAACUGACAUCCUAACGUGAAUGGAGGAAAUUUUCACAAGGCCUCAUCCUCAGACGCAAAGCUACAGGCAGGCAAUGACUGUCAACUGAAGGAAAACCAGACUUUUGUCGUUAUUUUUUCAGGGAGGAGACCCAAUUCUUUUUUUUUUCUUCCUUUUUAAACCUUUCUAUUGAAGUUAUUAUUAGCAGGUGGAAAGCUGAAUGUGUUUAAUAUAUACAACAUAGAAUAAAUUUUUUUUUAAAUUUUUAUUCUUGUUUCCCUUCCUCCCCUCCUCCCAGUCACCUACCACCUCCCCUCUCCCUAAGAUCUACUGCUCCUCCAUUUCCCUUCAGAAAGGAGCAGACCUCCAGUGACACCAACUGAACUUGGCAUAGCAAGAUGCAAUAAGACUGGGCACAAACCCUCAUAUCAAGGCUGAACAAAGCAACCCAGUAGGAGGAAAAAGGCCCCAUGAGUAGGCAAAAGAGUUAGAGACACCCUCCACUCCCACUUUUAGGAGUUCCACAAAACACCAAGCUAACAACCAUAAUAAAUAUGCAGAGGACCUAGCUCAGACUCACAGGCUCCGUCUCUCUGAGCCCCUCUGAGCCCUGCUUAGUUGAUUCUGUGGGCUGUGUUCUCCUGUUGUCCUCAACCCCUCUGGCUUCUACAAUCCUUCCUUCCCCUCUUCUGUGGAGUUCCCUGAGCUCUGCCUAAUGUUUGGCUGUGGGUGAGAAGACCCAAUUCUAAGUGGUCACCUCUAAAUAUGUAUAAUAGGGGUGACAUAAUUGGACUGAGUAGGUUGUAGGUAUAUACCUACAUGUAUUUGUAUAACAAAAUACAUAUAGAAGAGGUCUUGGAUUUGAGAGAGGGUGAAUUGGGUUGGGGAAGAUGCAGGAGGAGUUGGAGGGGGAAAGGGAUGAGAAUGAUGCAAAUACAGUGUAAUGUAUGAAAAACUCAAAUUCAAAACGAGUUCCAUUUUUUUUGAAAAGGGGACUGUUUUGACCCAUUUUAGACUAAUCUGAAAUAGUCCAUCAGAGAAUUAUGAUGUGGAAUUCUAUUUAAAUGAGUUUCUAACUAUGAAACACACCCUAAUAGCUAGUAUGGCGAGAGGAUGGGGAAAGGAGUCUCAUCUCUGUGUGCAGACACUUACUACAGGUUUUAAUUUUAGUCUUCAAAACUGAGACUCAUAACUGCAAAUUGUUUUUUCACCAAGUGGCAGAGAAUGUAAUUGUAUAGGCUUAGGAAGCCUAGUAAAUAAUGCAUUUGGACUUUAUUUUAAGAUUA